rnacentral:rRNA from 1 species
UACGGAGGAUCCAAGCGUUAUCCGGAUUUAUUGGGUUUAAAGGGUGCGUAGGCGGAUUAGUAAGUCAGUGGUGAAAGCCUGCAGCUUAACUGUAGAACUGCCAUUGAUACUGCUAGUCUUGAAUAUAGUUGAGGUAGGCGGAAUAUGACAUGUAGCGGUGAAAUGCUUAGAUAUGUCAUAGAACACCGAUUGCGAAGGCAGCUUGCUAAACUAUUAUUGACGCUGAGGCACGAAAGCGUGGGUAG